GGAUGCUGACCUCUAUCAACUGCAUUACAUAGGUUCCCUUGCAUCCUGGCUUCUGGUUGGGGUUUGGCCAAUGGGAAGUGCUGGCAUGAGGAACGGGCAGGCAUUGAGAAAGGAAAACAAACACGGGAGGUGAGCUACAGAAAUAAAAUGCCCAUGCUGAGGAACAGCGAAAUGAACUGAACAUAUAAAACAAGUUAUAUGGACAGGCCAAACGUCAGUUACCCGGGGUCAACUGCAGACCAGAAGCAUAUGAUCCUUCUGAUGUUUCAUCACAAGGUCAAUAUCAGCCUAACACUACAUCACAAUGUCUAGGCAUUCACCUCGUUUCAUCUCAUCAUGAGUGCAUUUUAUCAUUUCACAUCAUCACAAGAAG